rnacentral:lncRNA from 1 species
AGAGGUGAGUCUGACUGAUAGAAUAGAGAUAGAUUGGAGAGGUGAGUCUGACUGAUAUAAUAGAGAUAGAUUGGAGAGGUGAGUGAUUGAUAGAAUAGAGAUAGAUUGGAGAGGUAGGUCUGACUGAUAUAAUAGAGAUAGAUUGGAGAGGUGAGUCUGACUGAUAGAACAGAGAUAGAUUGGAGAGGUGAGUCUGACAUAGAAUAGAGAUAGAUUGGAGAGGUGAGUCUGACUGAUAGAACAGAGAUAGAUUGGAGAGGUGAGUCUGACUGAUAGAAUAGAGAUAGAUUGGAGUCUGACUGAUAGAACAGAGAUAGAUGGAGAGGUGAAUCUGAUAGAUAGAACAGAGAUAGGAUAGAUUGGAGCGGUGAGUUUGACUGAUAGAACAGAGAUAGAUUGGAGUCUGACUGAUAGAACAGAGAUAGAUUGGAGCGGUGAGUCUGGCUGAUAGAAUAGAGAUAGAUUGGAGAGGUGAGUCUAACUGAUAGAAUAGAGAUAGAUUGGAGUCUGACUGAUAGAAUAGAGAUAGAUUGGAGAGGUGAGUCUGACUGAUAGAACAGAGAUAGAUUGGAGCGGUGAGUCUGACUGAUAGAAUAGAGAUAGAUUGGAGAGGUGAGUGACUGAUAGAAUAGAAAUAGAUUGGAGAGGUGAGUCUGACUGAUAUAAUAGAGAUAGAUUGGAGAGGUGAGUCUGACUGAUAGAACAGAGACAGAUUGGAGAGGUGAGUCUGACUGAUAGAACAGAGAUAGAUUGGAGCGGUGAGUCUGACUGAUAGAACAGAGAUAGAUUGGAGUAGUGAGUCUGACAUAGAAUAGAGAUUGAUUGGAGCGGUGAGUCUGACAUAGAAUAGAGAUAGAUUGGAGAGGUGAGUCUGACUGAUAGAAAAGAGAUAGAUUGGAGAGGUGAGUCUGACUGAUAGAACAGAGAUAGAUUGGAGAGGUGAGUCUGACUGAUAGAAUAGAGAUAGAUUGGAAAGGUGAGUCUGACUGAUAUAAUAGAGAUAGAUUGGAGCGGUGAGUCUGACUGAUAGAAUAGAGAUAGAUUGGAGUGGUGAGUCUGACUAAUAGAACAGAGAUAGAUUGGAGUCUGACUGAUAGAAUAGAGAUAGAUUGGAGAGGUGAGUCUGACUGAUAGAAUAGAGAUAGAUUGGAGAGGUGAGUCUGACUGAUAGAAUAGAGAUAGAUUGGAGUCUUACUUGUAGAAUAGAGAUAGAUUGGAGAGUUGAGUCUGACAUAGAAUAGAGAUAGAUUGGAGUCUGACUGAUAGAACAGAGAUAGAUUGGAGAGGUGAGUCUGACUGAUAGAACAGAGAUAGAUUGGAGAGGUGAGUCUGACUGAUAGAACAGAGAUAGAUUGGAGCGGUGAGUCUGACUGAUAGAAUAGAGAUAGAUUGGAGCGGUGAGUCUGACUGAUAGAAUAGAGAUAGAUUGGAAAGGUGAGUCUGACUGAUAUAAUAGAGAUAGAUUGGAGCGGUGAGUCUGACUGAUAGAAUAGAGAUAGAUUGGAGAGGCGAGUCUGACUGAUAGAACAGAGAUAGAUUGGAGAGGUGAGUCUGACUGAUAGAAUAGAGAUAGAUUGGAAAGGUGAGUCUGACUGAUAUAAUAGAGAUAGAUUGGAGAGGUGAGUCUGACUGAUAGAACAGAGAUAGAUUGGAGAGGUGAGUCUGACUGAUAGAACAGAGAUAGAUUGGAGAGGUGAGUCUGACUGAUAUAACAGAGAUAGAUUGGAGCGGUGAGUCUGACUGAUAGAACAGAGAUAGAUUGGAGAGGUGAGUCUGACAUAGAAUAGAGAUAGAUUGGAGCGGUGAGUCUGACAUAGAAUAGAGAUAGAUUGGAGUCUGACUGAUAGAAUAGAGAUAGAUUGGAGAGGUGAGUCUGACUGAUAGAACAGAGAUAGAUUGGAGAGGUGAGUCUGACAUAGAAUAGAGAUAGAUUGGAGUCUGACUGAUAGAACAGAGAUAGAUUGGAGAGGUGAGUCUGACAUAGAAUAGAGAUAGAUUGGAGUCUGACUGAUAGAACAGAGAUAGAUUGGAGAGGUGAGUCUGACUGAUAGAAUAGAGAUAGAUUGGAGCGGUGAGUCUGACUGAUAGAACAGAGAUAGAUUGGAGCGGUGAGUCUGACUGAUAGAAUAGAGAUAGAUUGGAGCGGUGAGUCUGACUGAUAUAAUAGAGAUAGAUUGGAGCGGUGAGUCUGACUGAUAGAAUAGAGAUAGAUUGGAGUGGUGAGUCUGACUGAUAGAAUAGAGAUAGAUUGGAGAGGUGAGUCUGACUGAUAGAAUAGAGAUAGAUUGGAGCGGUGAGUCUGACUGAAAGAAUAGA